ACGGAAGGCAGCAGUGAGGAAUAUUGGUCAAUGGGCGGAAGCCUGAACCAGCCAAGUCGCGUGAAGGAUGAAGGUAUUAUGUAUUGUAAACUUCUUUAGUCGCAGGGAAAUAAGGCGGACGCGUCCGCUGAUGCUAGUAUGCGAAGAAUAAGGAUCGGCUAACUCCGUGCCAGCAGCCGCGGUAAUACGGAGGAUCCGAGCGUUAUCCGGAUUUAUUGGGUUUAAAGGGUGCGCAGGCGGCUUUUUAAGUCAGUGGUAAAAUCGUGGGGCUCACCCCCAUCCCGCCAUUGAUACUGGAGAGCUUGAUUGCGGUCGAGGUUGGCGGAAUUCGUCGUGUAGCGGUGAAAUGCAUAGAUAUGACGAAGAACACCGAUUGCGUAGGCAGCUGACCAGUCCGUAAAUGACGCUCAUGCACGAAAGUGCGGGGAUCGAACAGGAUUAGAUACCCUGGUA
rnacentral:rRNA from 1 species